GCCCGGCUAGCUCAGUGGUCAGAGCGUGAGACUUGUCUUCUCUGUGUCGUGGGUUCGAUCCCCACGCUGGGCC